rnacentral:rRNA from 1 species
AGAGUUUGAUCCUGGCUCAGGACGAACGCUGGCGGCAUGCCUAACACAUGCAAGUCGAACGGAGUUGUUAUUCAGAAGUUCUUCGGGAUGGAAGGAUAAGAACUUAGUGGCGGACGGGUGAGUAACGCGUGGGUAACCUGCCCUUUUGUGGGGAACAACUUCGAGAAAUCGGAGCUAAUACCGCAUAAUAAUAGAGGAUCGCAUGAUUCUUUAAGGAAAGAUGGCCUCUGAAGAUGCUAUCGCAAAAGGAUGGACCCGCGUCUGAUUAGCUAGUUGGAAGGGUAACGGCCUACCAAGGCAACGAUCAGUAGCCGGCCUGAGAGGGUGAACGGCCACAUUGGGACUGAGACACGGCCCAAACUCCUACGGGAGGCAGCAGUGGGGAAUCUUCCGCAAUGGGCGAAAGCCUGACGGAGCAAUGCCGCGUGAGUGAAGAAGGCCUUCGGGUUGUAAAACUCUGUCCUUAUCGAAGAGAGGUAGGUAUGUGAAUAAUGUACCUAUAGGACGGUAGAUAAGGAGGAAGCCCCGGCUAACUACGUGCCAGCAGCCGCGGUAAUACGUAGGGGGCGAGCGUUGUCCGGAAUCACUGGGCGUAAAGGGCGCGUAGGCGGUUUAAUAAGUCAGUGGUGAAAACUGAGGGCUCAACCCUCAGCCUGCCACUGAUACUGUUAGACUUGAGUAUGGAAGAGGAGAAUGGAAUUCCUAGUGUAGCGGUGAAAUGCGUAGAUAUUAGGAGGAACACCAGUGGCGAAGGCGAUUCUCUGGGCCAAGACUGACGCUGAGGCGCGAAAGCGUGGGGAGCAAGCAGGAUUAGAUACCCUGGUAGUCCACGCCGUAAACGAUGGAUACUAGGUGUUAGUAGUUUCGAUGCUACUAGUGCCGGAGUAAACACAAUAAGUAUCCCGCCUGGGGAGUACGGUCGCAAGACUGAAACUCAAAGGAAUUGACGGGGGCCCGCACAAGCGGUGGAGCAUGUGGUUUAAUUCGACGCAACGCGAAGAACCUUACCAAGACUUGACAUCCUCCUGACAAGAUAUGUAAUGUAUCUCUUUUCUUCGGAGACAGGAGAGACAGGUGGUGCAUGGUUGUCGUCAGCUCGUGUCGUGAGAUGUUGGGUUAAGUCCCGCAACGAGCGCAACCCU